rnacentral:lncRNA from 1 species
GCCUCUACGUCUCUGCAUAAUUAGUCUCCUGAUCUGGUAUACCCUCCUUCCCCUUUCCUCUUUGUUCAUCAACUCCAUUAAUUGCAUCAAUCCUCUCUCUCCAACUAGAUUGUGAAUGUCUAUAGAGUAAAGAUUGUGACUUAAAUAUUUGAGAUCCCCUGUGGUACCUCCACAGUGUCGCAUACAUAAUAGAUGCUCAAAAAAUUGCUUGUGAAAUGAAUGGAUGGAUAAACGAAUGGUGAAGAACACUGUUCUUCCCACCAUUAUUGAAUCAUUACCAAACAUGAAUAGAGCAAUAGUCAUAGAAUCACUUAUAUAAUGGUCCUCUGACUUCCAAGAAGCCUUGGAGAUUUCUUUCAAGUUUGAGGCUUAGUGCCCUUUCUCACCUGCUAACUCACCCACACUCAGCAGGCCCAGGGCAUCCUUCAGGGUGGUGAUCAGGGGGAAUUUGCCCUGGUUGCAGAAAGUACUCAGGAAGUCAUCCAAACAGACGGUCCAGACCAUGGCACCUCCAAAGUUUUUCUUCUUCAGUCAAUCAGCCUGUGGUAAUUAGAGAGAAAUCAAUUAAGUUCAACAUCAAGGCCAAUUUGUGGUUCCAGGGCUACAAAUGAGAAGAAACAACAGGCAACAACAGUCUCCAGCACAGAGUCUACCCUGAUUUUGAAGCUCCUGGUGUCGUGAUAUCCAAGAUACUCAUUCCCUUUGUAAGCACAGGGAGCAUCCUCGGGGGCCUCCCACACUUCAGGAGCUCCAUUCUUCAGGAAGGUACAGUUCUAAGAGGAUAAAAGGAAAAGGUCAAGAGGGACUCACCACACUGAGGCAAAAGAUACCACUUCCAAAGCCUCGUAAACAAGGUCUCUGAGCAGCAAGCAGACCAAGGAUGAGCGUCUAUUGCACAAGUGACAUACAGAGGUGUUGUGGGACAACUCAUCACUCACUGGGAUAGCUGGG